CACCUCUCAGGGUAGCAUCUGGAGAGUUUCCAGUACUCUACCAGUCUCGACUAUGGGAGGGAAAGUCAAGCAGAGGCAUAUCCAUUCCAUUCCAAUUUGGGCAGUGGCUAACAAGUGGAAGGCAAUCUGCUACAAGU
rfam:Ornithorhynchus anatinus chromosome 4, whole genome shotgun sequence.